rnacentral:rRNA from 1 species
GGGUAGUACGCCGGUAGAGUUAUGCAUUAUAUCCGAAGAUACUGCGAAUGGCUCAUUAAAUCAGUUAUCGUUUAUUUGAUAGGACCUUACUACUUGGAUAACCGUGGAAUUCUAGAGCUAAUACAUGCUGAAAACCCCGACUUCGGGAGGGGUGUAUUUAUUAGAUAAAAAACCAACGCCCUUCGGGGCUUCUUGGUGAUUCAUGAUAACUUCACGGAUCGCAUGGCCUUGCGCCGGCGACGGUUCAUUCAAAUUUCUGCCCUAUCAACUUUCGAUGGUAAGGUAUUGGCUUACCAUGGUUUCAACGGGUAACGGGGAAUUAGGGUUCGAUUCCGGAGAGGGAGCCUGAGAAACGGCUACCACAUCCAAGGAAGGCAGCAGGCGCGCAAAUUACCCAAUCCCGACACGGGGAGGUAGUGACAAUAAAUACUGAUACAGGGCUCUUUUGGGUCUUGUAAUUGGAAUGAGUACAAUUUAAACCUCUUAACGAGGAACAAUUGGAGGGCAAGUCUGGUGCCAGCAGCCGCGGUAAUUCCAGCUCCAAUAGCGUAUAUUAAAGUUGUUGCAGUUAAAAAGCUCGUAGUUGAAACUUGGGCCUGGCUGGCAGGUCCGCCUCACCGCGUGUACUUGUCCGGCCGGGCCUUUCCUUCUGGAGAACCUCAUGCCCUUCACUGGGUGUGUUGGGGAACCAGGACUUUUACUUUGAAAAAAUUAGAGUGUUCAAAGCAGGCCUUUGCUCGAAUACGUUAGCAUGGAAUAAUAGAAUAGGACGUGCGGUCCUAUUUUGUUGGUUUCUAGGACCGCCGUAAUGAUUAAUAGGGACAGUCGGGGGCAUCAGUAUUCAAUUGUCAGAGGUGAAAUUCUUGGAUUUAUUGAAGACUAACUACUGCGAAAGCAUUUGCCAAGGAUGUUUUCAUUAAUCAGUGAACGAAAGUUAGGGGAUCGAAGACGAUCAGAUACCGUCGUAGUCUUAACCGUAAACUAUGCCGACUAGGGAUCGGGCGAUGUUCUUUUUCUGACUCGCU